rnacentral:lncRNA from 1 species
GCCACCUCAUGCUGGGUAACACGACUCAACACUUUCCCUCUGCCAUGGCAGCAGCACGAUCUACUGCAGGCAAUGUCACUCGAUAAACCAAGAGUUCACCAUCAUUUUGGCUGAGUUGUCCAGACAGUGAGCUUCCAUGGUUUCCCUGCCUCUAUUCUCCACUGCUGGAGUUGCAUACUUAUGCCACCAAGCCUGGCUUUAUGUGGAUUCUAGGGAUUCAAAUUUAGGCCUCAGAAUUGCAUAGCAAGCACUUUACCCACUGAGCCAUAUAGUCAGCCCCAUGGAUAAUAUCAUGUGCUGUCUCGCAGGGUCAGAGCCAGUCCACCAUUUAGGAUCGGCAUCUGCGAAGCGUCGUCUUGCCCGGGGAAGGAGGGGAAAAGGAGAACAAGAGACUAUUGCUGUUUUGUUUUUAAUCCAAUUGAGAAGAGAGAUCAUAUGGGAAACAAAUUCUUAAAUUUGAUGAAAUAAAAAAUAAAAUAAAAAACAUGAGGGAGAGUCCACUGAGACUAAGAUGGCCAGGAAAUUCUCCACCUUCCUCAAGAAUGCCCUGACAAAGGAGAUGGCUGCUGGUCAUUGCCACUGCUACAAAUCUUCCCUCACUCGGACCCUAACAAAGAGUCACCAUGAUCAACCCGGCCACACCCUACAGCUACCCAGUGCCCUUGGGAGAUAGUGGCAAAGUACCUGACAUACCCAGCCACACCCAGGACCUUCAGCCACACCCAGGAUCUUCAGGGCUCAAACCUGGAGAGUGUCUGGAGAACCUGUAAACACCCCCACUGAUGGAAGAAGUCCCCUUCCCUGUGACCCCGGUGAAAAUGUGAAAACCAACCCUCCACCUGAAAGGAGAUUAAUUGCAGCUCUUGGGAUUCUGAGGUGAGAGGAUGGAAAAUUUAUGGUCCACCUGAGCGGCAGCAAGUUUGAGUCCACCUUGGAGUACAAAAAAAAGACUGUCUCAAACACACACACACACACACACACACACGCACGCACGCACGCACGCACGCACGCACGCACGCA